AAAGAGAUAGGGUCUUCAUGGCCCGACCUCCAACCCUCUGUUGUUAAAACUACCUUGUUGCUUUGGCGGGACCGUCUCGGUCUCCGAGCGCACUAACCCUCGGGUUGGUGAGCGCCCGCCAGAGUCCAACCAAACUCUUGUAUUAAACCAGUCGUCUGAGUAUAAAAUUUUAAUUAAAUUAAAACUUUCAACAACGGAUCUCUUGGUUCUCGCAUCGAUGAAGAACGCAGCGAAAUGCGAUAAGUAAUGUGAAUUGCAGAAUUCAGUGAAUCAUCGAAUCUUUGAACGCACAUUGCGCCCCUUGGUAUUCCGAGGGGCAUGCCUGUUCGAGCGUCAUUACACCACUCAAGCAUCGCUUGGUAUUGGGAACGGUCCGUCGAAAGGCGGGCCUUCCUCGAAGACCUCGGCGGGGUUCAACCAACUUCGGGCGUAGUAGAGUUAAAUCGAACGUCUUAUAAGCUUGGUCGGAUCUCAUUGCCGUUAAACCUUUAAAUUUUCUAGGUUGACCUCGGAUCAGGUAGGGAUACCCGCUGAACUUAAGCAUAUCAAUAAGCGG
rnacentral:rRNA from 1 species